ensembl:lncRNA
CUUAUGAGCAUCUGGGGUGUGUGUGAGAAGUUUCAUAUACCUUGUACAAAGGAAAAGGAAACCAGCAGUGUUUUGCCCUUCGGUGGCAAUGAAAGAAACCUAAUUUUGUCUCAUGUGCAGGGAAGAGACUCCAGUUGUAUGGUGGUACACCGUGUGCCUAUGUGCACUGAUAGCUCACUGUCUGGUCAAGAAAAUCCAGAUGUAGCUUGUGGUUUGUGGUUUGUUGCCCCUGAGAUGCACUCACCUGCUGUCCCAGGACACUGGACGUUGGUGCCAUGAUGCCAGAGGGGACCCAGUUAAGCAGGAGGAUGCGAUCCAUUCUCAAGUGAAGUCACCCACAUUGCAGAGGCAGCCUUUGCCAUCAGCCCAGAGCGUGCUUCCCACUGCCCGCACACCAGUGGCUACACCUGCAGUUGCUCAGCUUAUCUGGGAAGAAACCAGAAAAGCUUCUCGUUUCACAGCUGUGAGAAGCUCAUGUCCUCCCGUCGUGCACUCAGUGCGGGGCUCCUGGUGGGAAGUGCAACGUGGACCUUCCCGUAGGUCACAGCAUCUGCACAGCGAUGCUCGGUGCACUCGUGCAAGGUCAGUACACAAGUGCUGCCUUUGGGAACGUGUAUAACGCUACAUUCAUGGGAAAACUGAGUGUUCCUGCAGAAAUCUACCAUGCUGACUCACGUCCCAGAGAUUUUGUAACUUGUUGCUGUGAUAAGCCUGUGAUCAGGCUCCUUUCUAAUUAAGCAAUCGUGUUCUCACAGGGUGCUUUUAGCUUCAAUAUGUUACUCGUUGCAUAGAUGUCUUCUAACCCUCCGCGCUGACAUCUUUCCCAGGCUGCCAAUGCAAAACAAAGUUCUGGAUCUUCCCCCCAAGCACUUCCUGAAACCUUUUUUUCCAUCAUUACAUAAAACGCUGGGUGAUCUCUCUUUUAAGCUUGCCAUCUGGAUGCCGCUCUUGAUUUUGUCUGUCUUCAAGCAUGUGUGCCGAGGCUGGAUCUGAAACGGCGCAGCCUCUUGCCACGUAACAGCUCUAAAAGUUGCGCUUCUCAGUCGCUGCUCCAAAACUUUGGCCGCUUUUUCACCAUCUCACAGCUUCAUGUUUUGAGUUGGCCCUCUCCAGCACAGAGAGGGCGUUGAGGCACAGCUGCCCAGGGAACCUGUGGGUGCCCCAUCCUUGGAUUUACGCAGUGCCAGGCUGGAUGGGGCCCUGGGCAGCCCGAGCUGCUGGGGGGCAGCCCUGCCUAUGGCCAGGGGUGGAACUGGGUGGGUUUAAAGCCCUUUCCAACCCAAGCCACGCUACGCUACGCUUCUACGGUUUCCCAAACCUGGGCCUUGCUGCAAGAGCCGCUGGGUCUCCCAGGUGCUGUUUGGAUACAGCUAUCGGUCACACCAACUGUUCACCUGCUGCUGCCCAUCUCUUCUGCCAUCUACCGCUUUAUUUGUCAAACUGGGUAAUGACCAACACGAAGAAUUUAACAGUAACAGGUUUGCACAGUGGAGUCUUUGUUAAAGCGAUGGAUGCCGGCGUUAUUUGCGUUAAGCCUUCAAUGUCGUUAAGCCUUCAAUGUAUCUGCCGGCUCGGAAAACCUUCCUCUGAAGUGGAAUUCGCAGACCGGAUGGCCUCAGCGGCUCCAAUAGCUCUUUGAAACAAUGUACGUUGAAACCGAAAGCCCUAAAAGAUAAGGGAAGAAUAAAACGUUCGCUUCUCUGUAUCUCCACACCGAGGGAACCCAACACCCCGUAGCAAUCUCUCGCCGGGAGGAAUCCGCCGCCGGCCGAGGCCGCGCCCCCCUCAUGCACAAUAUUCGC